UAGAGGACCAAAGGGACCUGAAGAGA
rnacentral:piRNA from 1 species